rnacentral:lncRNA from 1 species
UCUGGAAACAUAUGGUCCCUCACAGUGCCAAAAAGAGAAAAAUGACCUGCUUCUAUUUGCUUGCUUGUUUGUUUGAUCUGAUGCUACAUUGUCUAUGUUCCUCCUAAAGAUGUUCUUUUCUCAACACUUAAGUGCCCAUUGAUGACCACAAAAAGGAAUGUCCAGUGCAGCUGCGGGUCCACUUGAGCCCUCCAAGCCAGCCCUCUCCAGCCCACUCUGUCUGUGGGCUCUGUGUUCCCAGAGCCUGUUGUUGCAGUGAUGUCUGGAAUCCUCAACACCUGCACGCCAGCUUCCUGGGCAUUUCCACCGCCCUCCUCCUUCCCCUCCCAAAGCUCUAUUUGCAUCUGAAAUGCAGCUGCUCUGGACUCAAAAGAGGGGAGCCCAAAGGACAGGACAGCUCCUUGUUUGGGCUCCCUCUCUCAGUCAAACCAAAUCUGAAGCUCCUCUGUACAAGGCCUUUUGUUGCCCUGUCAUUAUGUUUAAAUGAGCCUCAUCUGCAGGAAGAUUUUUUUUAAUAAAAUAAAAUAAAACCACCACAAAAGACCAAAGCAGAUGACAUCUGUUCUUUCCAUGAAAGCUCUUUUUUUUUGUCUUGAAUUAGGCUAAAAAAAGAAAAGAGAAAGAAUGGGACUGGGCCUCACUUGUACUGUCCCUCCCCCCAAAAAAAAACCUAAAAUACAUAAAAUUAGUGCACCCUGGAGGCAAAGGGGUGUGGAACAGAUAACAAGAAAAAGAGGAGAGAAGAGGAGAAAUAAAAAGAACCGUCGCUACUCCUCCAUCAAUGUUCUGCACCAUUUCUGACUAAGGAUAUUCCGAGAACAGUCUUAAAGCGUCACUUGUUUGGAGAGAAUGUUCAAAUUUAUCUUCCCUGGGCCUGUUUCAUCAGUAAAAUAUUUUACAACUCUUUAGCCAU